UACGUAGGAUGCAAGCGUUGUCCGGAUUUAUUGGGCUUAAAGGGGGCGUAGGCGCCCUAUUAAGUUAGUGGUGAAAACGUUCGGCUUAACCGGAUACCCGCCAUUGAUACUGAUAGACUUGAGUGCGACAGAGGGUGUUGGAAUGUGUGGUGUAGCGGUGAAAUGCUUAGAUAUCACGCAGAACACCAAUUGCGAAGGCAGAUGCCUAUGUCGUAACUGACGCUGAGGCACGAAAGCGUGGGGAGCAAACAGG
rnacentral:rRNA from 1 species